CGGGGUGAGUAACGCGUGAGCAACCUGCCCUGCAACGGGGGACAACAGUUGGAAACGACUGCUAAUACCGCAUGAGACCACGAAACCGCAUGGUUUUGAGGUAAAAGGAUUUAUUCGAUGCAGGAUGGGCUCGCGUCCCAUUAGAUAGUUGGUGAGGUAACGGCCCACCAAGUCAACGAUGGGUAGCCGACCUGAGAGGGUGAUCGGCCACACUGGAACUGAGACACGGUCCAG
rnacentral:rRNA from 1 species